rnacentral:tRNA from 1 species
GCGCCCGUAGCUCAGCCCGGACAGAGCGUGGGACUUCGGAUCCCAGGGUCGGGGGUUCAAAUCCCUCCGGGCGCGCCA